CCCGAGGGAACCCAGCGGAGUCCGACGGCUCCCUGGGCCACGCGCCGUCCGUUGAGCGGCUCUGCGGCCGGCCGAGGCCGGGCUUCGGUCUCUCCGACGUCCCUGGGAGCGGGAGAGGAAGCGAGGAAGGCGCUUGGGCCCUCCGCCGCUGGGGCGCCCGCCUUCCGUGUGGAAGCGAAGGCUAGAGCGCUCCCCGGCCGGCCGGGCGGUGCAGGGCCGCUGACCACCUCGGGUCACCAGGAAGCCUGGACGUCGGGGAGACUAGACGCUCCCCCGACGGUUCGAAAGCGCAGCCAAAGCUAACAGCGACUGGCGUCGAGGAAGGAGGGGGUUGUUUCAGGCUGUGGAAUGGAAGUUGGUUUCUCCAGGAGGGAACACGAGCCUUGCUGACCUCACUGACCGUUCCGGAGAGCACGCCUGGGCUUUGCUCGGCAUUCACUCUACAAACGCGGCUCUGAGCGCCUCACCUUCCAGGCGGGACCUGGGCUCCGUAUUCUUCCUGCCCAGAGAGCUGCUAGCUGCGGGGCGAGGAAGCGCCAGCUGUGCCCAGCAGCUUCGGGGCAGCAGCCUCCUGGCAGUUGGAACCAGAAGGAUGAUCGGGCUCCAAGCGGUCCAGCCACGCUCCCUGCCCUCCCUGGACUCUGGGGGGCAGAGCCAGAGUAGGGAGGGCCAGUUGGGCGCCCCCCCAGGGGUGUGCAGAGCCAGAGCUGCCAGGACCGGAGCUCCCUGGACUCCGUACCCCAGAGAAGAAAAAUCGCAAAAGUGGAUAACGGGAAAGUUGUCUGUUGCUGUGUAACAAAUCACCCCGCAACUUAGCGGCUUAACACAAACCUUUAUUAUCUCACAGUCUCUGUGGGUCAGGGACCCAGGCACAGCUGGGGUGUGCUUCUGCCUCAAGGUGUCUUACAAGCCUGCAGUCGGGGUGUCAGCUGGGACCGUGGCCCUGUGCGGAAGCCCCCCGCCGGGUCCGCGUCCGAGCUUAUUCACCAGGUUGUCGGCAGGAUUCGGGUCCUCGCGGGCUACUACACGGGGCGCCUCGUUCUUCUCUGCUUUUUGGCUGGAGGCCUUACUCCGUUCUUUGCCAUGUGGGCCUCUUCACAGGGCAGCUCACAACGGGGCAGGCGGCUCCCGUCUGAGGGAGCAAACGGGAGGACCGCCGCGGCGGGAGGCGGCUCCUGUAGCCUCAUUUCAGAAGCAGCACCCUGUCACUUCGGCAGGGGUCGCGGACUGCGCGGCGCUGGGGAGUAAUACCAGGAGACGGGAUCAUCGUGGGCCACCCCCACCCCACUGCUGUGCUCUUCCUGCUGCCCCCGGGCCUGCAGGAGUGGGUCUCCCUGGAGCUGGGAACGCUGUGCGCAGGGUGUUGUUUUUGUGUUUCCCUGUUUUAGAAUACAGUGCGUGGAAUUGUUACCUCGUGAGAUAGAUGCACCCAGAGAGCACAGGCCGCGACAGACGGGCGCUCAUCCACAGCGUUCUGUCCACAUCCUUCCCUACUUAAGCCUUUCCAAGGCCUCUGCUGACUUGUAAUUCCCACUCCCUGAGUGACAUAGAGCAUCUUUUCUUAAGCUUACCAAUUAUUUGAACUUUCCUCAGAGCGAGGUUGGGCCCCCAAUCUAUCCUUCCCGAGGACCCUGACGGUGCAUCAAGGAAAGUCCCAGGCAGAGGUGCAGGGGCCGUGACGCUCUCACACGAACCCACACAGGCCACACAGGCAAAGCUUGAACCACAGCAAAAUCUGUGUCUUGGCCGAACGCCUCUCGGUCCUCCUGGAACUCAGGAGUGUGGGAGCAGCUGCUCCAAGUCUGAGCCCCCUCAUCUCCCGGGAGGCUGGGCUGACCCCCUUGCCCGUAGCCUCGGGGUUGUGACGUGGCCUGGGGCUGUGCGGGAAGAGCUUAGCGACCCCAGGGCGCUUGCCCCCAGCACCAGGGCGCCCCGCCAUUGAUGCUGCAGUCAUCUGGUCACUUUCUGGUGUCACCUGUGCAGGGUCACAGGGGGCUGGCACUUGGCUGCUCUUCCUUUUAUAAGCUGUGUAAUAAACGGAAUCUAAAAAGGACUCGCUCUUUCUUUACCAGCAAAUCUGUCGGCCUUGGCUGAAGAGAAUGGAAGUGAGGGGAGGCCCAGGCCACCUGGUUUCUCCACAUCUACCCCUGCCCGGUGCCAGAUAAUGCUUGCUAGCCCUGCCCUCCAAGGCUUGAUCCAGCCCCUUAAGGCUUGAACACUUCUCCCCCACGAUCUUGAGCCCAGAUCUGUCCCCGCCAUGCCCCCUGGAGAGACUUCAGUGAGUGGGAACCUCUCCAGGACCAUGCCAGCCCUCAGGGGACCAGCAUUUGGAGCGAAACAGAGGACAACAGCUCCCUUUUCCCCAACACCUUAUUAGGGAAAUUUGCAAACACAUGGCAACGAAGGAUUUUGCACAGCUGUAUGCAUACCCACCACCAACUGUACCGCUUACAUUUUACUAGAUUAUCACUUUGUCACGUCUGGGCAGCCAUCCAUCUGUCCAUUUUAUUUUUGAUGCAUUUAGAGUCAGUUUUAGCCUUCAGUGUGCUUUCCGCUAAUUACUUCAGUGUGUUCACCAAGUAGAGUUCAUUAUUCACAGUCCUUUUCUUUUAAUGUAAAACGUACACUGAAAUGCCCUGCCUGUAAGUGAGUAUUUGCUGAGUUUUGACAAAUUAUACGUUUUUGUAACUCAGACCCUUAUCAAAAAAGAUACUGAGCGUUCCCAUCACCCCAGAAAGUUCUUGUCCCCCACUCAGUCCUACCCCCACUGAGAGAGAACCACUCAGUGCCCUGCCUAGUGAUACUACAGCCUAAAGCAAAGGGAAAAAAAAUAUUUUUAAGGGUUUCGUUUUAACAUUAAAGUAGGUGAAAACCCACUGAAAAAUGAAAAGAUUUAUUAAAAAUAUUUUGUUUAUUUUAUAUUAAAAAAUUGAUAAUUUUGCCUCCUGGUUUUAAUGAAAACAAACUCAUCAGUGUUUCCAAAGUCUACUAGUCGUUUUUAAUGGAGAGAAUUGCUGUGUUAAUUUCUUUUGACCAAGUGAUCUUAAAUAACCUUUCAUUAACUGCAGACAAACGUAAGAUGCCAUGUGACUGGCAGUGCUAACUACCUUCUCAAGAUCGCUUCCAAAUUAGGAUUGCGCUAAGCAAACUUUUGAAUCAGCUUUAGAAGAUCCAAACACAGUGUUAAUUUUACGUUAUAAAUUACUGAUACUGAAUGCUGUUUUAAACUAUAUCAGAUGACAUUUCUAAAGGACUUAAAUCAGAAUAUUUGCAUCAAAUAAGUGGCUGCUUUGUGUAAAUCAGAUGUAUCCAUAGAAAAUAACUUCUGUGGUUAAAAAUUCAAAAUCUAAAGACACUUUAAUUUUCCAUAUAUUUAUUUCAAAUGUGAAAUCAGGGCAUCUGGCAUCUAUAAUCUUAGUUUCCAUUUGAUAUGCAUGUUUCUCAUAAUUGACACUCAUCGAGUGAUUCAUUUCCAAUUUCUAUACUUUCAUUUUAAAAUUCAAGCAAUAUAUUCAUAUCUUUUGCUAAAAUUUUACAUUCAUCAAGCAUACUUCCAAAGUUACUAUUAAUUGUUGUAAGCAAAUAAAACCUGUUAAGUAUAUAGUUUUAUGCCUAGUCAUUUUUUUAAUUGUAUAGCAUUAUUUUUUAUACUUGGUUUGGAAGGUCAUCCCACACAGAUUACAUAAAAUUAUGUAAUUAUUUACAUCAAGAAGCUUUUGAUGUUAGCAUAUUUUUCAUUUGAUAUAUACAUACAUUUCAAUAUUUAUAAAUGUCUUUCUAUGUGAAGUGCCUUGACUGCAUUUAAUUUUGAUCCUCAUGGGGUGUCUGGAUUUUUUUUUAAACACCUUUAUUGUGGUACGGGUGUGUUUUUAAUAUAGGUUUUAGAUCAGACAUAAGAAUAUCCAUCUGCUCACCCAUUUUUAAAAAUUCACGCACACACAAAAAUGUAUAUACAUAUGUCCUUUGUAGAAUGCUAAAAAUAGGUUAUCAAAUUUCAUUUCACAGAAGCAGCAUUUUUGCAUAUUAAGAUUAUGAGCGGAGGAAGGCACAAAUUUGGCAUAAUUAUAUUUGGGGAAAAAUAGUGUCUUUUACACACUCUUGUAUAACCUGCCAUAUUUCCUCCAUUAGUAUAUCCCUGGCCACAAGCAUUUUUUAUGUCAAUAUUUUUUCCCAACCUCUAAUUUCAUAAGCUAGACCUGGGAAGUUUUUUCUUUCAUGUCAAUAAAGUCAAUAAAACUUAUUUUGUUGUUACGACAUUGUUCUUAAUGUGAGCAGACCUAAUAGUCUGACACACUUGUUCACAGUGGACUACAUCUGGUGUACAAUCAACAAGUAAAAAGUAUUUGCUUCCUUUAUUAAUAGUAUUUCAGAUCUGGUGUGAUUUGCUUGUAGCAUUAUGCAUUUGUUUUGAAUUUUAUUAGGUAAGACACAUGGACUUCCAAUAAUUUCUUGUGAUUCUCUAAGAUAUCUAAGACACUUUUAUUUUUGUUCAAAGUGUAACACCUAAAAUCACUCAAAAUAUUCUCAUUUUUGUUUCUUUGAUUU